AGUUUCAGUAUUUACUUAGACGCCGGACGAAAUCGUAGACGUUCCCCGUCGGCAAUACUUUUUACGUGUCUGACGUGUGAUCCGUCGUACGUAUUUACCCGAUAGUUUCCCAAAAUAUUUUCUUUUGCAUUUCCGAUUUUCGCCCUCCUGCAUUUGCGCUCCCGUUGACCCAAUUCACCGACACCCCUCGAGUACUUCCGAUCCGGCACCGGUUCACGCGGCCACCUGCAGACGAUCGCCCGCGCCGUCCCGUCCACGGGGAAACUAGUUUUCCGCCACACGUAAGUAUAAUAAUAUUAUUACAAUCAUUAUUAUAUUUAUUAUUAUAUUAUAAGAAAAAAAAAAAAUUGUUUAUUCUCGAAUACGAUUUGUAACAUCAUAUCAUACAAUAUCAUUUAUUUAAUUUCGAAAAAAAAAAAAAAUUGUUAUUCUCGAACACGAUUUGUAACAUUAUAUCAUACAAUACCAUUUAUUUAAUUUCGAAAAAAAAGAAAAAAUUGUUAUUCUCGAACACGAUUUAUAACAUUAUAUCAUACAAUACCAUUUAUUUAAUUUCGAAAAAAAGAAAAAAUUGUUAUUCUCGAACGCGAUUUAUAACAAUAUAUCAUACAAUACCAUUUAUUUAAUUUUAAAAAAAAGAAAAAAUUGUUAUUCUCGAACACGAUUUAUAACAUUAUAUCAUACAAUACUAUUUAUUUAAUUUUGAAAAAAAGAAAAAAAAAAUUCUAAACCGUUCGUUUUACAUUAUUACGCACUUACUUGCUCCUCAUAAUUUCAUAAUAAUUUCGUGAUAAUUAAUUUGGGCACUUGUCAUUAUAUUAUUGUUAUCGAUCGUCUCGCGUUUAAGUUAGUGUAUUUACUCCCAUUUACAGGUUUGCGUCGUGUAAGUAAUUUCUGCGUGCCGAAUUGUUACGGAGUGUUUCCCUCUGUCCCUCUGUCUUUAAAAAAAAAAAAAAAUUGAACACACAGCCUCCAUUCCCGACAAACGGCGAUACCGUAAAUAAUCGAACUUUUUUUUUUAUCGCUCCCGAAACGGCACCGUCCGUGUUAAAAAUAUCCGAAUCUUGCGCUCUUUUUACGUCCGCAUACAUUACGCGUACACACGCCGAUUAUCGGGUGCACAAAUUCAAGGCCGUAACUGUAAAAUAAUAAAAUUACAUAGAGAAAAUUAUCGAAAACUCAAAAAAAAUUCGCGGCGUUUUUAUCGACUGAAAUAAUUAUAAUUUUUCCGCGAGACACGGCGUAACGCGAACCGUUUUCGGGUGGCGGUGGGUGGGAGGGUGGGUUAGGUUGAACCGCGACCCUCCCCGCCCCACCGGUCAGGUACGGCCUUGGGUGCGAUAUCCGAAAUUCGGCCGGUUCAACCCGCGUAUGUACCGAUAUAAUAAUUUGCAUAAGUAUUAUACGGAAUUAAAAUAUAAUAAUACGUUGAAAUAUGACGCGCGACCCUGCCGCUCUUACCGAUACGGUCCCCUCUCCACCCCCCGCGAAAAUAGUCCUCGGUAAACAAGUAAGUAUAAAAGUGGUACACCUAAGCGCGUAAUCGAUAUCGAUCGGUAUGGCGGGGUGUUGAAGCCUUGUCCUCUCCGCCGCGAAAAAAAAAAAAAAAAAAAAAAAAAAAAAAAUAAUAAUAAUAAUAAUAAUAUUUGGGCUAAUCGCGCUGUACGGUAGAUGUGCACGAAGUGUACGAUAAUAUUGAGAAAUCCCGGCGGCGUGCGUUUCACCUUCCCCUCGCCCUGCCGCCCGUCCGCCGGGUCAAAGAGACACGAUACGAUUGUAAAUUUUUUCGCCGCCCGAAAUCCGGUAAAUCGACCGCGGCCGCGCGGUUUUCCGCGCGCGCUGGUUUAAUCUGAAUUUUCACGCGGCCGGCGCCGAAUUUUCCCGUUUCCGUAUCCGCGCCGCGGACAACGAAAAGUCCCGGGGAUCCGACGCGUAAAAAACGACCGCGCGGCGUCGGACCGCGGUUCCGUAUUGCCGUGUGCCCACCGGAUUUUUUUCGCCGAAUUUCGGCGAACACUUCGCGCAAUACCCGCGGCGGGAAAAUAAUUAUUUUCGAUGGAAAUAUUUUUGUUUAUUCGAACUGGUCGCGCGACGCGCAAUCGAAGAACGCCGCGCUGUUAUUGCACGGCGCGCUUUAGAACGGUAAUGUUUUGUUUUUAUAACUGGAUUUGCGAAUGCCGGGUCGGGUUUUUUUCUGCCAGCGACGCGUUAUUAUUAUAUCUUUUUUACUUUCCGCGCGUCUGGGAACUUUUCUGCCAGAAAUCUCGCGCCCCUGUAUAAAACUUUUUAGCGAACUUAUGGGCCGUCGUCGUCGUCCCUCCCCCCGCCGCUCUCUUCUAGCUUUUUUCAAAAAAAAAAAAAAAAAAAAAAUCAAAUCAAAACCCGGAAAAAACUUUGCAAUUUUUCGUACGAUUACUGUCGAUUUCCGCCGCAUUGCGUCUUGGCGAUAACAAGCGACACAAUAUACGAUCGAUAAUACACCCUGCCCGAAAUUGUUAGCGGCCGUUUGAACGGUUCGAUUAUUCGAGCACCCAACUAGAUUCCGACCGCAGUCCGGAGAAAAAGCCGUUUAACAGUUUUACUCGGACGCGCCGUAUUUUUUUUUUUUAUUUUUCUCGAUUUUCGGACCGCUAAAAACGGUCCGGUUUCGAGCGUCGAAUCCGAGAUGCGGUUUGUUUCGCGGAUAACUCGAAUAAAUAUUCUAAAUUCCUCUAGACCGUUGAUCUCUGGGAGGGGGGUAGGGGAGAGGCGCCGUACAAUGGAAAUACGACCCGACCGAUACGCUCAGAAUCGUUUUUCGACCGUAGCGAUUUAUCGUUCGAUGUCGGUCCGUCGGUACAACAUCGGCGUAUUAACCCCGCGCCUUUGAAAACUUUCCGCCCAUAACGGGACGACCUGCCCGUGCAGGAGGCGGCGCUAAGUACGCCGGGCUUUUCGACGGCUUUUCUCUUUGCCGCGGGCGGCGCGAAUGUCGAGGGAGAAAACAAAGUCGAGGAUUACAAAGAUUCAAUUACAUUACACAUAACGUAAUUGCGUGUUUUCUUUCGUUAACGAAAGUGUUCCGGCUGCCGUUAUUAUUUAUGUGCGCACGCGAGUGUAUUAUGUUAAGUAUCCGCCCGCGAUUAUUUAUUCAUAUUUCAAUUUACAUUGAAUUGCCGAACGCGCGUCGCUUUUCACAGUAGGCACGGAUCGUAAUAUUGGAUUUUAAAGAGCCGAGCGAACGCCAAACGAUUCCGCGUUCAUUAUCUAAUGUGAUUUCGUUUUUGACAAAAAUAAAAAAUGUAAUCGUACGCACCUCUACCCGUCUGAGUCCUUAUUUAUUAAUUUUUUUUUUUUACAUUUUUAAUUCCGCUUUUUGAUAUACGGAUAUAAGAAUGUAAUAAUAUCCAGAGACCAACGGCAAUUCGUUUUUCUCGGGCACGGAACAAUAAGAGUAGCGCCUUUUUAUUUACGCUCUCUCGCUCGGGUACUUUUUAAUUUUGUCCUUUUUUUUAAUAAAUACUAAUAAAACGCUCGUCGUUUGUAGGUGUCGAAAAACGCUAACGUCGUUUAUAACUCGAAAUUAGAAUUAUUUAAUUAUUAAAAAAAAAAAAAAAAAAAACCGUUACAGGUUUUGCAGCGGGUUCCGUUUUCCGCAAUUCACGCCGUCCUCACUAACCGCCGAUAAUUUCGUUUUAAACCCGCAGCAGUAUUAUGAAAUUCCGCAAAUAAACUGAAGAACAUUGUAGGUGUAGUUUAUACGUUAUAUUUUUGAUUACCGGCGGCCUGUCGACGAGACAUUCCGCUUUCGAGUUCGGGUAUGGGGUAGUGAAUAAACGUUUGGAGGAUCGGUACUAUUCUCCCCUUAUACGCAUACUUAAAACCGGGAAUCUCGUCAACGCGGGCCGGAAGAGGAAAUCAAAAAUGUCAACGCCGAAAUGUAACGUAAACUAUAUGAUACACCGUCAUCCGUCCGUUUGCGGAAUUUUUAAUAUGGGUUGUCGUUUGAAAAUCAAAAGUCAGUUCACUCCCCCGAACGCGGGUGACAUAAAAUAAUACGGUAGUUUAAUUUAUUUUAGAACUGUACUCUAUACGAGAAAAAGUCCUUCCUGCGAUAUAUCGCGACGAUCAUCAUCACAUUAUAUGUUCGCGUGCCAAUUUAUAAUUCGUUAUAAAAACCAAACGAAUUUGAUCGAGUUUUAAGGUUAUAGCCGAAGAAAAUAAAUGCAAUAAGAAUAAAAUGAUCGCUAUUAUAGUGCAAUACCGGGAAAACGGUUUCCUCUCGGUAUUUUUCUUUUUUAUUUUAUUCUUUUUCUUUUUUUUUUUUUUAUUAAGAAACUGACAACUGUUGAAUACCUUCCGAAUAAUUGUUUUCGUUUUUUUUUUUUUUUCGUAAUUCGAUAUCUCGAUAAAUGAGUAGGUAUCCGUGUAUAAUAAAUCACGCAAAUCGGGCAAUUCGCGCUUCGUCCGCUGUUUACUUUGCAAAGUAGGAAAACGCGUCAAUUCAUAACUUUCCCGGUUUUUAAACGUGCAAAGUGUCGGGCGUCUCGUUUCUCGAACAAAAUCUCCAUUUAACGCACUGACCGCCAUACCCGAACUUAUCCCCCAUAUUAUGAUAUCAGGGCAAAGGCUUGCUUUAAGUCACCGUCGUUUUUAAAAAAAAAAAAAGGCCGGUUACACGUUCAGUUAUUUUUCGAGAUUUUUUUCGCGGAAUUAGGUGUUUACGUUAUUUAAAACUAUUCUUACUAAUAACAAUUAUAGCGAUAAUUUGGACAUUUGGGUUUACAGUAAUAAUCGGGAGACAAUAUGUAACUCUGGGAAUAAACGGUAUUGGGGGCUUAUAGAAUUGUAUUUAGUCCGGAAAAAAAUCGCGAGGGCUGUGGUUAUAUAUCAAGUUGUUGAGUCCGUAACCUCGGAUUUAAUUUAUUCGGUUUUAGUGGGAGAUUUUUUUGUUUUAACAUUUUUUUCCACCCCCGAAAUCCGUCCGACGUUAUUCGUCCUCGUAUAAAAGGCUAAAAAAAAAAAAAAAACAAUCUUAUAAUUUACUUGGUUUCGUAUUAUUACCGUCUCGUCUGGUUUUCACGAUUAUAAUAAAUUAAUAUAAAAGAGUCGGUACCUAUUUACGCAUGGUCGGGUCGGAACGCGUAACUUUCAAAAGGUCUGUGCAGUGUACGAGACCCUCUCGAACAUAACUUAUUUACAAUUUCACCGCGUUAUUUAUUCACGUAUUUUUUUCGGCUUUUAGCAUUAUUAUAAUAAACGGGCUGUAGGCGUAUACCGCGUAUAAAACACAAUUCAAAUUUAAACGCAUACACGUACGAUAUUUGUAGACGGAAAAAAUAUUAAAAAAAAAAAAAAUUCGGAAAUAAAAACCGUCCCCUUACCCGAGCGGGGUCCCGAGUGGAAGGUACAGUAAUUAUUAUUAUUGUAAGUACAAUAUAUUGUUUGGCGGGUCGCGUCGACCUUGUAAUGCAUCACCGCUAUGCAUUAUUAUCACGAUUGUUCUUGUCGAUAUUUUUUCGGGGGUCGCGGUAUGCAUCGUUAGCCGCAUCAACGUGUGUUGUUUUCGCAAUAUUGCGAAAGGGAUUGUGGAUAUUCGGGGGAGAAAACGCCGAUUGAAAGCGCAAACAUUCGGUCUAAACUCCGACCGCGCCCGAAACGUUUAUCGCAAAACGCAAACGUCGGUUUAUUUGACUGCUAAAGAAAAUAUUUUCGAACACCGGCAAGGUAUUUCUGUUUUAAAAAUAUAAUAUAUUAUACACCUAUUGCAACGACAACGGGCGGUCCGUACAUUUCGUUUGAUUAUCGAUCAGAGAUUAUUAAAUAAUAUAACGUACACCUAUCGCAUAAUGUUAAGUUAUAAUGACAGUCGACGACUAUUCUGUAUGAGCAGUGGACGUUAUACUUAAAAACGGUUUCGGUGAAGAAUAUCGUUUUCGUUAAACGCGGGGUAAAUUGCUACGCAAACAGUAAGUACAUUAUGUUAUUAUUAUUACAUUAUAGUGACGUAAGUAAUUUAAUAUUCGGCAAACGCGUGUUAGAAUUCCCAUACAUUUGUACUGUUUAGCAGAAAAAAAAAAAAAAAAAAAAAACCGAGAAAAAUUACACCGGGACUUAAAGUUUCAAAAACAAAAUGCCGACAGUCGACUUAAACCACCUAAUAUAUUCCCCGGAACCGAAUUGGAUAUUGCAGUUAAUAUAUUAUAAUAAUCCUCUUUUGUCUUCGUCCUAUUUUUCUUCAAAUCAUUUGUCUUGACCGCUCUAACGCGAACGACUAUCCCUGUUUUUUUUUUUCUUAUAAUUGUUUAAUCCAAAAAUUAGUACCUCUAAUAUACUUAUCUGUAUUUUCCGUUAUUUUCGUUGGACAUUAUUACACACAAUCGUUAUCACUGCCGUUUGGCGUGUACAGAUAAAAUAUUCAAUCUCUCUGUAUUAAUAGAUUCUAGACAGUCGUCCUUCUCAUCUGGUUAAUUUCAACGAAAUAAUAAAGAACUGUACAUAGGUAUACACGCAGGGCCUCCGCAUCAAAUUCUGGGCCCCUGUACUAAAUGUCUGUCCGGGCCCUUUAAAAAACUUUCAACAAUACAAUUUACCAUAAAUUAUUAAAAAUCAAAAUCCAUAAGCAUUUCGGUAAAAAUAAUGUCUUUUUUAUUUUAAUUAUUUUUUUUGUUUUAUUACAAUAUUAUCUAAAUGAAAAAAGAAAAACAGGGGCUAGGACGCUAGGUAUAAAAAUCGAAUCAUUCUAAAUGAAAAUCGUUGCAAUCCAUCGUAAACGCGAUACGGGAGAUCCGAACACGAUAAUUUCUAGGUAAUCAAUUACAUUAUAUAACCUAUACGUUCAAAUCGAUUAUCUACUCACAAAACCAAUGAGAAUUUUGUUUUUAGAGAUCAAUGUUUAUUCGAAAUAAAUUCGAUAAUAAGAUCCGUUGAGUAUUCAAAGAGGAGGGGGGGAGGGGUUCCGAGUGUGAAUUCGAUGGGAUUUGGGUAGAAAAAAAUAAAACGAAAAAUUCUUUUAUUUCGUAAAAAAUUAUUCAACGUUCGACCGCAAUCAUAACUACUGUUCCCAUUAGUCGACGCAAAUAUUAAAUUUACUGCGUACACAUCAAUAACCGCGGUAAAUGAUAAAAUCGAGAUAAACUACUGUAAAUAGUGUUUACACAGGAAAACCCACCCUUAAAGGCGCACUCUGCCAGAUACCAUUUACAAAAAAAAAAAAAAACGAAAUUGCUUUUCAUCGAAAAAAAUAAUAAUAAGCGAUAUUUGUUUUUAUUGUUAUUAUUUGUAUUUAUUCGCUUUCAUAUUAUACGCCCGUAUUCUGCGUAACUAAAAAUAUAAAAUAAUAAUAUUGUAUUAUUUUUAUCAGAUUUGAAAAUGUGUUUUAAUAAUUUUAGUUUUAUUAUACGUGGUGUUUUUGACAACCGCGCAGUAUUCGCAAUCGAAAUACAAUACUCCAAUUUAUUAUUAUUAUCUCGUUCACUCUCGGUCAUUUCCUCUCAUUCUCGCUCUCCCCCCUCUCGCUCUCUCUCGCACUUCCUUCGAAUCAAACGUUUUGUACGUCGACGACGACGUCACCCCGUUCUUACGAAUAAUAAUUAUAUUAAUAAAUUUAAAUUAAAAGGCGAGUACCUUCGUUUCCUUUUAGCGUGUCCUUUUGAAACGUCUCGUUAAACUCGCUCACUGUUCGUAAAUACCGGAUUCCGUUCGUGACUCACAUUUCGUCUCGUCGUCUCGUAAUCUCCUUUUCCGUGCACCGCAUUAUACAAGUAAGAUACAAUGUUAUUGCUAUUAUUAUUAAACUCGUAUACGUUUCCCCAUCCCCCGCUCUCCACGGUUUACAUACACGAUUAUUAUUGUGAAAUAUCAUGUACACUUUUGUCGUCCUUUCCGCCGCCGGUAGUUCUUAACUCGCGUAAUGAAACCCGCAGAUGAAAACGAAUCGGGUCAAAUUAAAUCUUCGCCUUAACACGCUGCGGUAAAUUUAAUCAAAUCGUCAUGCGAUGCCUAUAGUUAAUAAAAACGAAUUCGUUUGUACACUAUUACAGUCUAUAUUCGGAGGGUAAAUCGCUAAAUAACAUUGUAUACACCAGCAUCAAGGACACCGUGGUUUUCCUAAUGGCUAACGAGAUUUUCCAUAAAAUUUCUUUUUUUAAUUAUCAAUUUAAGACUACCAAACGUUUAUAUGCCGAUUUCCAUUAUAGUGGAUUCGCCCUCUGCCUAUAUUUAUACCUGAAUAAUACAUAUAUAUAUUAUUCGUUAAAUUAUUUAAAAAAACCGAUACUGGGGACGGGUGCAGCCACUGUUGUAGGUGAGAAGUUGGGAAGUUAGGAUACAUAAGGUUAUUUCAUUUAUAUCUAUAAGCAACGAUAAACCAUUGCUGACGAAAGACGAUUCCGAGCGCAGUUCUGUAGUACAUAAUUUAAAGUGCCGUAUUUUUUUUUGCGAUUUUCGUUUAAAUUUGAUUUCAAAACGCUCAUUAAAAAAAAAAAUUCUAUAAAAAUAUGGUCUCUUGUUAUUGAGGAGAAUAAGACACUAUGUUAUAUCAUCCCUUAAAACUUCUUUCCAUGAACAGUAUUAACCUUUUUUUAUACUUCUAAUGGUUACAUAAUAAAUACAAAUUUGUGCAGUUUUCCACACCACCUUAACUCAAUAAAGAACAAUAAUUAUUUUUUUAUAUUUUUCAUCAACUGCAGUCCGUUAAUUAACUUAUUAAAAAUUAUGGAAUCGUGAAAAACUCGUAUUUUUUCCCCAGGUUAUUUCUUUUUAUUUUAAACACCGUUUCGAAAAUUAAAAAAUGACCUAUGUAUUUACCAAGUAGAUAAAAUUGAAUUUUAUAAAAGGUGCUAUAGUUAUACAUCGGAGCAAGUUUUCUAGAAUAAAAGUGGUCUACAGUAUAAAAAAUUAAUAAUAAUAAAGUACCAUUAUAAAAAAAUUUAAAAAAGGGAAAAAAGUCGUUUGAUGAUUUUAGAAAUUUUACCACAUCUAGGUAAGUCCAAUAUAAGUAUUAUUUCUAAGUUUCAAGUCUCUACGUGUUUUUAUAACCGAAUCACAGCAAAAAAACUCUCAAAAAUUAAAAUUCCUUAAAAGCACAAAAGUGACUCAAAAGUUUGGCAAUGAUACAGUUAGAAAUUAAAUUUAAAAGGCAACAAAAAAUGUAUCUUACGAUUUUUCCAAUAAAUCAUUUUUUCUGGUAGAAAACGUCAUCCGUGUUUUUUUAAGAAUGGUCUCUUUCAAUCUAGACAACUUGAGCUUUCUGAAAAGUUAUUACAUAUGCAAAUCGAGCAAGUUUACUAGGAAAAAACUUGUUCACGGACUAGAACAAAGAACAAAAAAAAAAAUAAAUAGCAUUUUAAAACGAAUAGCUCUCGCGAUACGUUCAGAAUCUAAUAUAUUUCGUUUGAAAUCUGACAAUUAAUACGUACCUACGUAUUAUCGUUAUUUUUAUUACCUACUUGAAAAACGGCACUUUGCAUACAUCGGCUAUAUCUUGUGCAAAUUUAAAUAUCCGUUAUCUACAAUGUCGCCAAACUACUAUUUAGUAUACGGUGCCAGUGGCGAAUUUUGGCGGGGAGAUCCUCUUCCCCUCGUUCGCUUCCCCCAAUAACUACUACUAUAAAUUCAUUAUAAAAAUACGUUCUUUAUUUUCAAUACCGCCCCAAACUCCUCGGUUAUUUAAUCCCGGAUCUGUCCCGUCAAACACGAUUCCUACAGAUCCGCCCGACUUCGAGUCUAAAUCAAUUAAAACAUACUCUCCCACCAAUCCCCUUAAUAGUAUCCAAUAUUUGUUUUUCUGAAAAUAAUUACUCGUUAUAUUAUAUGAAAAUAUUUUUCAGCCGAUCGAUUAUUUUAUUUGACAUAUCCGGUCUCCUAUAAACUUCUCCUUGUCGUCUUCAAUACUGUCCCAAUUACUCAUUAUAUUCCAUUGUAAUUAUUAUUUGUGCGGCGUACGUACCUCAUCCUUGCGGGCCUGUCUUUUUCAAUACGACGUUAAUCAUUAAUAACUAUCCUACACAAUAUUAUUCGUUGUAUAUAUAUAUAAUUAAAUUAUUUUUCUAAGUGGAUUGGAAGCGACGGGUGUCUAACUUUGUUUAACACACAUGAAAUAUAGGGAUUUAGACGUGUUUCCAAUGUACCAAUUAAUCUAGUGAAGCGGUAAGAAUACUGAAGGCGAAUUUGAAUUUUUCAUAAAGCCUGCUUGAGAUCGACUUUUCCUAUUAUUUUUAUUUUUGAUUUUAAUUUCUCAACAAAUUAAAAUAUUCCGUUUUUUUAAAUACUCUUUUACUAGUAUGGCUUUUAUGAGAAAUUGAGGAUAUCGUUUUUGGAAAUAAAACACGUCUAAAUCCCUAUAUUUCAUGUGUGUAAGACAAAGGCAGACACCCGUCGCUUCCGAAACAAUUAAUAAUAUAAUUUACUUAUCGUCAUGAAACGUUUCCUGUUUUUCAUAAAUAAUAUAUAUAUCAUAGCAUAUAUAUAUAUAGAUUUUUCGAAUUACCUAACUAAUUAGCUUUAUACCAAUUAGGUCCCGAGCGUUUGAGGUUUUCAAACAUCGACACCUAGUAAUAUUUUAUUCGUACUUGUUUGUGCGAGGCAGAUAGCGAAUAAUUAUUCAAUUCUCCCCCUCCCCGUUAAUUUAUAAUGUAUGGAUUUCAUAAAUAAAAACACGCGCGAGAAAGGAUUUAUAUAUGAUUUUAAUAAAAUAUACACACAGUUUUUGACAAGGACAACAAACCGCCGUACACUAUAGCUGUUAGUGCAAAUAGCUGUAUAUUUACAUAAGGACCACUUUUAUACCUAUUUAUUAUUUAUUAUUCCCACUAACUAUUUUAUUUUACAAAUCCGGAGAAAUUUUAUAUCGCCUAUACAGGGCGAUUUAUCAUGAACCCUAUUUUCAAAAAACAAAAUAAAAAAACACAGUUUUGCAUAGAAAAUAUAUUUUAUAUAAACAUUUUGAUACGCGUAACAAUAUAAUUAAUAACUAUAUAUUAUAGAUUUUACCGUUUAUGUGCAGCUGUGGCAUUUCUAUAGGAUUUUUAACAAAAUCCCCCCCUCCCCCCAAUAUUUCCAUAGGCGCACAUAUACUUCAACGUUUUCUUUAUUAGAAAUAACGAACUCAUUGCCUGUUUUUUUUUUCAAUAUGUAUCGCGCUACCUAAAAUCAUUUAAAUUUUACCGACCUAGACGUUUGAACUCCCGGGGCAAUGGCCCCUUUCGUCUCCUUAAAUAUGUCACUACGUUUAUGAGUUAUUAACCGUUUCGUAUGAUAAACUGAUAACCCUUCCCUACGCAUCCGGUCUAAACUUUAAAUUAGUUUUUUUAUUAAGAGCUUUUAGUUUAGACUAUUAAGGUCGACAAUUACAAUGUUUUAAAGUGGUUAUAAUACAUACUCGAAUAGAGAAUAAUUUUCAAAACAUUUUAACACGUGUAGCUCUGUAUAAUAUAAUAUCGUUUUUAUCAUUUAUGAACUAUACAACAGUUAGACGAUAAAUCCGAUUACAUUCGUAUAACGUAUAUUCGAAUCUGUAUUUAAAAAUGGAGAAGGUUGAUGUUUGAAAAUCCAUAGUGAUGUAUAAUAGUGUAAUGUAUACAAGGAGUAGGAGUAUAAAAAAAAAUUGAACAUAAUGCGCUUAAACGAGCUAUAGUAAUAACUGAGCGAGAGCGGGGGGGGGGAGGGUUGCAACAGAAAUCAAAUUCGAUUAAAAUCCACCGAGAUAAUCUCAGGUUCGUGAUAAAUGGAUCGCCCGGUAUAAUAUUCCAUGCGUAUAGUAAUAAUUUUUUUUUUCGUAUCUUUAGUUUUUGUAGUGUAAUCGCGUUCCAUUCGAGAAAAAACAUAUAUACAUAUAUAGGCCACGUAAGUCGUUAGGUUAACCUCCCGGUUAAGUUGAUUUACUGCCUGUUAUAUAUGUAUAGCAGCUAGGUGAGUAUACUGUCGGAACAUUUAAAUAAACGUUUACUUAUAUUUUGUUUGAACAAGAUAAAAAGAAAAAGCGUUCCCGGUUCAGCUGCAGUCGCGGUAAACUUCUGCGUUGUUUUAUAUUUUUCAAUAAUCAAAACUCUUUUACAAAAGACUAACUUUUAUAGACGGAUAUCAUAAGUUUUAUUUUUGCCGCUACAAUAUUGAAACUCUUUCUUAACCAACCGAAUACUUGGGUUCGUUUUUUUUUUUUUUUCCAAUAAAAACUUGCAAGAAUAAAUAUUUUUCAUGUUGUAUUUUUUCGUUAUCAGAAAUAAAGAAUUGGCAUGAUAGGUAUUAUGUUAAUAGACUGUUAAAAUAUUAAAACGUUAAUAAUAUAUUAACAUUUAUUAUUCAUAAACACACUCGCUUCUACGCGUAUAAUCGAUUUAUUUAUUAUUAAAAAAAUUAUUAUAUCUUUGACAAUUUUUUGCGCUUUCGUUUAUCGAGUGUUUUUUUUAUUUAAGUUGCCAACAUGUUUUUAUUUCGAAAACAUAUCAUACGGGGAAAACUCUCAUCCUUAGUAUAGAAUUGAUGAUUAUUAUUAUUUUUUUUUUUAUCGGAAAAGGUCUUCAUUGAACUCUGUUUAUCAACAUUUUAAUCUCGUAGAUGAGUAAAAGUAUACAUUAUAAUGUUUUUCUAAAAAAUAAAUUUUACCUUUCUUUUUUUUUUUAUCAGUUCUUUUAUACCAUUAUUUAUUUGAUAUCGAAAAAUAAGAAAAUAAAAGCUCAAUACGGGCUGUAAAACGUUGAUGUUUAUCAGUUAAAAAAAGAAUGGUAUAGAAAACGGUUGUUCAUAUUAAUUCCGCAUAGCCAUAUCCAUCCGUAAAAACGACCAUACCUCUUUCCCUAAUGGAUAUCGAGCAGCAGUAGAUAAAUGUUAUAAUUUAUUGUUAUUACACAAAUUAGAGAACAUUUGGAAAACUUGUCCAUCAAGAGGCUGUAACAGUCACAAUUGUCGUUAAAACUGUUCAUUUUUUUUGUGUAAAAAAAAAAAAAAACAAAAAGGCCUUUAAAAUUGACUUCGAAGAUAAAACGCCUAUAAUAUAUAAUUUUUAGAUGACAACAUUUUGAAGACUAUCUAUCUCAUCGGAAUUUUUUGUAUAUUAAUUAGUUAAAAAAUGUAAAGUUCUAAAUAGAAAAAAAAAAAAAAAUGAAAAAUAUAACAAAAGUACCUUCGACAUUGAUAGUUAAAUAUUUAAAGAAUCGUAAAACGCCGAUAAGAUAGUCUUCAAAAUGUUGUUAUCUACAAAUUACAUAUUAUAGGUGUUUUAUCUUUGAAGCUAAUUUUAAAGGCAUUUAAAAAUUUGUGUAAAAAAAAAAAAAAAAACGAAAAGUUUUACCGUAUUGACUCUUAGAAAGAAAUAAGAAUGGUGAAUGCCACCGUGACGGCCUCCUAAAGCACGAUUAAUUUUUAAUAACGCAGGGCUUUCAAAUAAAAGUGUACAAUUAAAUUAAAUUUUCACUUAACGACAAUAUUACAUUAACAAAUUGUAUAACUGAAAGUAAAAGAAGUAUAACUAACAUAAUCGCCUAUACCAUUAAUACAGCGUCCGUAAUUAUUUUAAUGUUAAUUAGUCGAUUGCUUUGAAAUAAUUCCUUCUCGUAAAAAAUUAAAAAAAUGAAUUUACUUUUUAUUCAAAUAUUUUCGACAAUCAAAGAGCCUGUAACAUAAUAUUAUUUUAUCUAUCCGAGUAUGACAUUUUUGUAUUUCAAUAUAACAAGCCGCAAAAAUUUUAACUUAACCUUUUAAAUUUUUAAAUUAACCUUUAGGAUUUUAUUAGAGUAUGAUAAAUAAAUAUAUAUAUAUAUUAUUUAUGGAAGGGGGAAAACUGCGUGAUGUUACAAGAAUACCAAAACGUAUAAAUACCUGCAUUUUCUUUAUUUUUCUCCCCAGUUUUCUGUCCCGCGCGCACGUACUAAUAUUGAAUCGAUAAUGUUUACGCCGUCGCAACUAUUUCCGUUUAAAAUAACGAAACGCAAUUUAUAAUAAAGUAUAUAAUGUGUAUAUCAUAUUAUAACUUUUAAGGUAUUUUCAUCAAAGGGGAAAAAUGUAACCUUUCGCGAUAAAAACAAAUUUCACCUACCCCAGAGCCUGCAGCUAUACCCGAAGAAUUGUUUACAUAUUUAGCGCCCUUUCAUUUUUUGACAUUACAUCAAAAUUCCGAACUGCAAACUUUACAUUUUGUAAAUACCCUUUGAGCUCUAAAAAACAUUCUUUCAGGCCCUGCGGUAAAGCGGCUUGAUAUUUAUAAAAAUAACUGCUAUUUUACCGUAUUUUAAAAUAUGAUGUUCCUUUGAAAUUUCGCGUCGGAAGCCGUUGCCUCCCUUUUAACCCCCCCCCCCACCCUCUAAAAACGUCCUUGCUUAUAUCCAUCAUCUACAUUUCCAGUAGACCCGCUACAGGGUUAUUUAUUUUUUUUUAUCGUCAAAAUUUUACAGUGUUUUUAGCACGAGAGCGAUGUGACUUGCCUAUAUUAUAUACUUUCCAUUAUUCCCGCGUAAUACUCAUAAGUCAUUUCAACUUGUAAAACGUCGGCCGCGAAAUAAUGGAUUAGGUACGUUUUGUGACUUACAAAUAUAUAUCUGCAGUUUAUCUCUACAUAAAAUAUCGUAUAUACACGAAAAACGGCAAAACCUGAUGGAUAGGCUGUAACUUUUUUUUUCGUUUGACGUUUUUGAAAAACAGCACUAUCCUCGAAACUCCAUUUUCCUCUUUGAAUUUUUCUUAUCCACGGUGUCUAAACUCUACUAUAAUUUCAACUUAAAAUUCACGUAAUUAUUUUGGAACUGGUACCUAUGGUAUUCAUUUAUAUAAUUUUUUUUUUUUUUUUUAAGAGAACGCCACACUUUUACCACAUAUAUUGUCUCUUUAAACGCAUCACGACAUGGCAAAUAACGUUUGACAGGACAAAUUUUGCGCCGUUAUUAUUAAUAUUAAAACGAAUUAAACUAUUAUACCAAACCUAAAGGUAUAAAGAACAUAAUUUUCUGUGCCGCUACGUCGGUGCUUUUUCGAUGUUUUAAUUUUUAAGUGAGACAUGAACAUUUAUAAAUGGUCGUAUUUCACAUAUAAUAUGGAUAGCACCGAUAUACAUUUAUAAAUAUUAUACAUUGAUGUUUGAUAAAUUCACUUUCAAGGAAACGGCACAACAUUUGUCCUGCUGAACGCUGCAAAUUUGCUUUGUGCGUUUGUGACAUUAUCGUUUUUAAAAAAAUUUAAUAUUAAAUAUUCAAAGAUAUUAAAAAAAUAAAUAAAAAACUGUAGAGACCUAUUAUCUUCCGGAAAAAUAAAAUAAAUUUAUUAUCUAUAAAAUAUAUGUAUACGAUUUAUACACGAUAAUGUUUUAUCUUCGCUACAGUCGUAUAUAAAUAGUGAAAAUACUUGAAUUUUUUAAAUGCCUUGUUUCAUCAAUUUUAUGUAUGUACGAAAAAGUGUCCAAGCGUUAUCAUAGAUAAUUAAGGAAUCACCUAACACGCGAUUUUUAAUUGAAAUAAAAUUUGAAACUCAAUUUUUAAUUUUUAAAAAAUACACAUUAGGUCAUUUUUGCCCCACCUGUGACUAUAUGUAUAAACGAAAUACAGACUGAAUCCAUGCAGUGCGUUUCGUAAACCGAGAGUAAGUCGCUGACGGUUACAUGCAAUUAUGCAAUUGAAUUAACUAUUAAGUGUGUCGCACUCGAGACGACAUCGGAAUGCCUGAACGAAUCUCGAAUUACCAUAUCAUACAAAUUAAUUAGGUAUUCUAGUUUAUUAAUUAUCUUAUUACAUAUAAUACAAUAAGCCAUUCCUUAUUUGUGCGGGGAUUUCAAUUUAAUUCUAUUUUGUUUCCAGACGUUAAUAAUAUGAUGAAAUAUAUAUAGGAAUCGGUUUUCUCGUCAAUCGCCAAUAACAUUACGGUUUUCUCAGUCUGUCCCACAAGUAAUAUUAUGUAUAUAUAAUUAUAUAUAGGCACCACUGACAUUCCGCAUUUCCUGGAUUGCGACUUUCUAACGACGGUUGAGUUUAGAGCAAAGGGAUACUUUGUUUUUUUUUUUUUUACACACGGAAUGAUUCGCUAAGCGUGCUCACCCUAUUGUUUUGGUUAAAUUUUGCAUAUACAAGGCGGUCCAUUUAAAUUUUUUAUUUUAUUUUACGUAUAUUAAACGGGUUUUAACCCUUGAGCAAAAUACAAUUAAUACGCACAAUUUUUUGUUUAACUUAAUAGUGGAAAUUUGAUGCCCAAAUAAAUACAUAUAUAUAUACACGAGUAUUAAAAAAAAACCAGUAUGAUAAAAGUAUAAGUAUUAAAUUAACAAUGAACAACAGAAGUAGCCAAGAUAUUUUAAUAAUUCAAAAAACAUUAAUUUAAAGAAGCAAAGCAUUUAAGGAAAUAUAAAAAUUCUGUUUGAAAACAUUACGCGACAUAGAAAAAAGAACAACACGGUUCGUUACAAUUUUCGCCAAAGAGCUCUGGGAGAAAAUGAGGUGGAAGUAUAAUUGUUUCUAUAAAGAGGAACAUGAAAUAAUUCGGAAUUUCUUAAUCCGUGAGUUUUUAUAUUAAAACCAAUCAGAGAUAAUAAUUCCGGAGAAAAAAUAAGACCAUUUAAUAAGUCAUAUGUAAACAUAAUAACCGCAGCAUUUCUCCUCAAAUAACAAGACGCAAUCCCCAAUUGGGUAAUUUGCAUAUUAUAUGAAUUUCUUGACGUGGGUAUAUUUAAUUUUAAGCAUAAUAUUUUUAUAAAUUUAAAUUGAACGUUUUCAAUUAAACUUCAGACAAGUUAAUGGGUACACUCGAUAUCUCGGAAAGUAUUAACUUUUUUCAAUUUUUUUUUUUUUAAAUUUUAGAAACACACUGCUUUAAAAUUUAACAUUUAUAUUAUUUUUGUCAUCCUAACUUUUGGGAUUGAAACAAGUACCUACUCCAUCUAUUUAUGGAAUUUUUAAUAUAGUUCCUCAUUUGAAAAACCAAAUUUGGUAUACUCCUUGAAUGUUGUGAAAAAUGUAAGUAUUCAAAAAUAUCGGCAUUGACUAGACUCAAAAGUUCCAAAAACCAGAAUUUGAAUAUAUAUGCAAAAUCUAACCAAAAAAAAAAAAAAUGGAGUGAGCGCGGUUAGUGAAUCACACUGUAUACAGAUAAACGCAGUCUACACGGAUCCUAAGAAUGAUUUUUUUUUUUUAAUAAUAUUUUCAUUUUCAUUUAUUUUUUCAUUAUUAAUUUUUAUCUAGAUACGCGCUCGUUUUAAUUUUUCUCGUUAAUUUUAACCGUUAAUUAAGGCCACUUAAACGAUUGCUUAAUAUUAUCAAACCGUCACCCUUAUUCCAUAAACACGUACGCCUAUUUUAAAAUAAAUUGGCGAUUUUCAUAAUAUAGGCGGCCGAUGUUUUUUUUUUUUAUUUAUUUUUUUUCUUGUAACCUAUUUUCUGAAUUUCGUAUAUCCACGUUUAGCGAUCCAUUAUUGUUACACGCGGCGAAUUUAUUACACUGUUACGACAAAAUUAUUUCGUUUGCAAUUAACACUAUAAUAUACUCGUGUACAUCAGUGUAAUAAUUAUUAUAAUGCAUUCUACGCGCUGUAAUAUAGUUUUUCGUCACGUACGUUUCGCAUAUUGUUGAUUUUAUUUUCGAAUAAAUCUACAAACGGUCGAUUACAUUAAUGCCGUUGGUUUAAACACGUUUAUCCGGAAAAACGUGUUACGGAUACGCAUUCGCGUUAUCACUUUUUUAUUGUUCUAUACAUACGCAUAACAUAAUAACUGUUCCUCCGUGUGUAUGUAUAAAUAUAUAGAUACCUAUAUACUGCAGCCUAGAUAUAUUACACGUUUACGCGAAUAAAAAGUAAUAGUUUCGACUGGACGGUAACAUUUUCGACCUUGCAACGAUUAUUAUUAAUAUUUUUAUAAUAUUAUCGUUUUUAUUUUUGUUUUUUUUUUUUUUUACUGCAAUACGAUAAUAUUAAAUAACGUUUAAAAAAUCCCCCCGUAUAAUCCCCGUCCUAUAUGACUGACGGACAUAUACGAACGAAAAAACACAAAUUUCAAGUAUAAUUCGAAAAAAAAUGUUUUGUUAUAAAUAUUGUUUACGGUAAAACUAAUCAUACACGAUUUGAAAAAUACAAAUGGCGGCUGAUUGCAGAUUCACUUACCCCUCCCCGAACCCAAAACCGUUCAAAAUAAUGGCAAUGCCAUCGGCUUUAUUGUCACCAUUAGCUUAUUGUUUCGGAAAUGUUCCAAAAGUUCCGAAAAAAAAAAAAAAAAAAAAUGAUUUAAUGCAUUUCCGCAAGGUAUUGGCAGUGUAGUCUUAAGGGAGAUUGACCUCCCCUGUAUUCUUCUUAGUUUUUUUAAAAAUCAUUACAACAUAUAUGCUUUUCUCUAUUAUCUCUUCUUAUCCUGAACUCAUCUCCGUCUUGUAUGUAUUCCAAUUUCCAUUAGAGUUUUCCUGACUGUGUCAAUUCACUUUUGUUUUGGCAAAUCCCGCAGUGAUAUUUGGCCACUUUAAUUAUCUCCCUGUACUCUAUUUAAUAAUAAAAAUAUACGAUCCAACUUACCUAUUUUUAAGGACUUUUUUUUUUUUUUAACGAGACGUAGCGAACAAAUACAUUUUGGUAAUUUCACUAGUGGAUUCUGGUUUUAAUAUAAAAAUAAUAUGAACGACGGUUGAAUUUGUUUUUUUUUUAUGAUAAAAAUUAAUACAUUUUCGUUGCCGGCGUUCUAUUUUCUCCGAUUUAUUUAUAAAUAAAAUGUUUUUUGUUAUACACAAAAGAACUUUUCACAACAUUUUAGACGAAAAAAUAUACGAACAAUAGUUUCGAUUCAUUUUUUAAUAGUAUAGUUGCAAAUUAUAUUACGGUUAUUAUCAACUUAAUUUUAUCAAAAUAUAUUUAUAUAACUAUACGCUCGGAAUUGGUUUUCGUUGGCGAUGAUUUAUUGCCGCGUACCUGUGUAGAUAUAAACUAAUAGUGUUACACUGUAAUAUUAUAAUACGGUAAAAUAUACGAUUGAAAACGGCAUUUGUAUUACUUAUUAUUACGAUUGAAAACGUUCGAUUGAUAUAUUUCCUCCUCAACGCGUUGCUAAAUUAAAUAAUUUUUAUAUAACUAGUCUGGGAUAUCUUUAAUUUCACGAAAUAUAAUAAUAUAUUGUUAUGCAUUCGCCAGUUAAAGAUUAAAACGAUAUUUUUAUCGCAAACACCGUGAGUUUACCACGGAAAUCCAAUAUUAUCGUUGGAUUUUAUUGGAUAGAUUAUUACGUUAUUUAUACGCACACGUUAUACUGGAUGCCCAUAUUUUCCAUAAGAUUAUAGUAUUAUAGUAUAUACGACUGUGAUUACGGAGAUUUUUGUUGCGCGUUCUGCGUUUGUUAUUAUUUACCGGGUUUAAAAAUAAUAAUAACAACAAUAAAACCAUUUUUCACGUAAAUCCGUUCUCGAUCAUCGUAUUAUAGGUCUUCUGGGUCAGCGCCGCCGGUGAGCUCUCUGCGAAUUUCCAGCGUUUCCGCGAUGUCUUGUUGGUCGACAUGUGACAUACGUAUUCUGCUCAAUCGUUCGACAACCAUAUUGUCCCAUAUACAUCCCAACUUCCCGUUUACAACAGCGAAUAAGUCUGCGGCUUGGUGCAUGAAUGGCCAAUGUCAUAUUUUGUGAUUGUUGGGAAAUGGACUUUGAAAUUUUAACUCCCCAUUAUAAGGCUCUGUGUAUUUUAUAAAAUGUAAUGUUUGUGUAAUUUUCAAUUUUACACAAAAACUUAAACAACGUUUAUUUAGAAAAAAAAAUUCGAACACUUUUUAUUUUUUUAUUUCUAACUGAUUUUUUAAAAAAUUGACAUUGGCUUUCUCACACCAGAAGUAUGUUUGCAAUUUUUUCUUUUUAUAUAUAUAUAUAAUAUUUCAUAUACUAUGGUAAACUAAUUAUGUAACGUACAAUCUAUUCCGCUUUUAGUUUUUUUUUUUUUUUUCAUUGCCCAGAAACAAUAAAUAGGUAUGGGCUAUGAUGUUUUUGUAUACAAACUAACCUUCGGUGUAACAAAUAACAAUAAUAAUAUAGGAAGUAGUACCGCUAUUUAAAUCUUAAAUAAAAUAAUAAUGAAUAAUGAUGGCGGUAAAUAAUGAUUUUUGUCUAUGACAAAACUCGUUUUUUUUUUUUGCAAUUUUAUUUUCUAUAAAUAAACAAAUUAUACAUAUACUUAAACUAUAUUAUAAUAAUGCACAAUACAUUAUUGAUAUGCAAGAUAACCGGUUAUUUGUUGAUAAACGGCUCGUCGUUUUCGCACUACAUUAAUCCGAUUUAAUCUGUAUCUAAAAUAUUCUAUGGUAAUUUAUUUGUUCGCCGAUUUUCGUGUACAUUAUUAAUUAACCGAAAUGCAUAAUUUAUUAUUAUUAUUCAGAUUAGGACCGAAAGUCUCCAAAAUCAUCCAAUUUCGGUAAUCUCUACUACAGUGUAGUUUCGUCCUUCUAGCUCCCAUCGCACUCUUCGACGAUCUCUAAAAUAUUAUUUUAUCUGAACGUAUAAUAUCUAUACAGCUCGAUGUUUUUCCAUGGUCCUCUAUACUCUCCAUGGUUAUGUCGCCCAAAGAUUUUCCGCCAUAUUUCAUUUCACGAAUACCGAUUAUCCGUUAUGUUUUCUUUGGUGGUCAAUAAGUUUCAUAGUAAUAGGUACCAAGUAUAGAAGUACUUAUAAUAUAUUAUAUUUAUUAUUAAAAAUCUCUAAAAAUACGCAAAUAGAUCGUUAUAUCGUUUUGUUUUGUUUUGUUUUUUUUUAUUAACGGAAUAAACAAUGAACAGAGAACUUACAAUGCCCGCGGGAUGUUAGAAAUAUUAUUUUAACCUUUUUUUCCCCAAAAUAUAGGAAAUGAAAAAUUUAAUAUAGGUAUGUAUUUGUAUUUACCCCUUACGUUAUGAGCAAUAUAAUAAUAAGCGGGUAUAUUAAACAUAUUAUGUAUUCAUAUUUCUGUGCUACGAAAAUUGAGUUUUUCCCUAAUUCAGCGCACAUCCGGUAUUUGAGACAAAAAACAUCCUCGCUGAAUACAUAAUAAUAAUGUCUGCAAAUCCAAUACAAAAUUCGGUGCCAGGAUAGUAUAUAUUCGAUUUUAUGUAAUACAAUUUUAAAUACAAGCAUAUUAAAUUUUUAAUAUACGAUAUUUACAUAUGGCUACAUGCAUAAAAUUUACAUAAUAUACGUGAAUUAUUACAAUAAUAACAAUAAAUAAACAUCAUUGUAAAAUCAAUACAUUCCUUGCUCCUCUCAAAAUUUAAAAAUAAAAUAUAGAGCGUAGGUAUUUCAGUGUGCCUAUCAUUUUUGUAGUCAUUGUUGUAGGUGGGAAGAUAGAAAGGUAAGAUAAAUUGUAUUGAUAAAUGUAUAUCCGUUCGUAACAAUAGAUCAUUGCCAACUAAAUACGAUUCUGAGCAAAGUUCGGUUAAACCCGUUUUGAAAUCCCGUGGUUUUUACGAUUUUCGAUAACAUCUGAAUAUAAAACUCUUAUAUAAAAAAAAAGCUCCUACAAUACACUUAACCUUUUUUUGUUUUACCAGUAAAAAUAAGUACAACUUAAGGUGAAUCUUGAAGUAUUUCUUUCCAAACCAAUUUUAUUCACAUAAAACCAAAUUAGAAAUUCUACUAAAAAAAACCUAAAAAUAUAUCAAAUGUCUGUAAAUAACUAAAAAGUCACCAGAACACAAUAAAAAAAAAAAAUUAUUAUAACUAUUGCUGACCUCUAUAAUUAUUUUUAAAUGAAUUAAAACCCCUCUAUAAUUAUUUUCAAUUACAACCGAAAAUCGAAAAUAAUAAAACAUAAAAACCGUUAUUUUCAUAAACACCCAUAUUUCUUAUGUUUUUCUGAACCAUCAAAAAAUGAUCUCCUCACCAGCUAUAGAUUCAAAAUGCUACAAAAAAGGUAUCUAGUCAUUUUUUGAUUAGAAAAAAAUGUCUAGCAAAAAUGUUUAUAAAAAAAAAAAACUUCAUAAUAAAACACCAAAAUCAUUCCACGCUGGGUUCAGAACGUGACAAAAACUCAAAACCCGAAAAUCUUCUUUAGCCUUUAUUCCUUUCAGGAAUCAGUGAUAUAUUUCGGUAGAACAUGCAGUAUCGCUUUAAUAGUAUUGAUACGAAACUCUUUUUUUUCAGUUUACAACGUCAAAUUAAUUAUUUAAAUGAAAACUUAUAACGUAUUUUUUAACUGUUAUUAUUAUAUUAUAGCAGUGAUUUCCGAUCUGGAGGUAAUUAUGAGGUAAAAUGAGAUUUUUUGAGGGGUAAAAACAAGACUAAUUUUUUAUUUUUAUGUACGCAUGUACUAUGUAUUAUUAAUUAUGCCUAUUAAAUCAUUUUAGACUGAGCGGAGCAAGGAAUAUAUUGGUUCUACAAUGAUGUUUAUUUUUUAUAUUUUUUUAUUUUUUUGUGGACAUUUUUUCUACCAGCGAUUUUUCUCCGAUUUUCAAUGAUAACACUUUUUCUGAAAGGAAAUCUUACUGGGGUGGUGCUUUUACAAUAAAUGAGAAAAACCGGGAAAAAAUUGAGGAGUUUUUCCUCAUGAUAUAGUAAUAAAUUGUAUCCGCUUACUGUGUAACGACAAAUUGCAUCUCGGUGAUUUCGGACCGAAUAAUUACGAAUUUGUAUCCUAAUCGACCGGAAUAAUGCAUUAUGCAUAGUAGCUAUAUUAUCCAAUAUAGACGAAUAAACGAUUCGACUGACGUAAUAUAACGUUCUUAUUUGUUUUUUCCUGAAUAAAUAUCGCAUUGUGGAAUAGUAACAAUAAAUUUUCUUGUUUAAAGUAUAUUAUGUAUACUUAAGGUUGCAUAUAGAAAAUAAAUAACAAUGAUGGCCCGCUACUUUAUAUUAUAUUUAUAUACACAAUAUUAUAUUAUGACGUUCGGCCCACACGCCUUGAUUUCGAAUUCUGAUCACGUAAACGAUUUUUGAGGGGUAUUUUUUUUUUCAUUUUUUAUCUGCCGUCUGUGUAACGCAGGCCGUUUUUUUUCUUUACCGGAAAGGACGUCGAUAUUUAUACACCGCGAAGACAAUAUUACAUAAUAUAAAACGUUUUAAUUAUUUAUAAUAAUAUUCCGUAAAAAUGCAGGGUAUAUAGUAUAAGGGGUGUAGUUUACGAAAUCCGUAUUACAGUGAACGCUGCAACGUUUUUUAAAAAUAAAAGCCUCGUUGUAUUGAAAUAAAUGUAUAUAUAAUAAGACGUAUAAAAUAUCGGAAAACAAAAACGAAUCGCCGUAAAUCUGACGCGAAUCUAUACGCGUUGCAAUAUUCACCAAUUAUCUAUUAUUAUUUUUUAGAUUCUAAGUGGACCGAGGAAUUUAUCGGUUUUACUAUAAUAUGCGAGGUUUUUUUUUUUUUUAUUAUGUGUGUCAACAACUUUCCUACUAGGAAUCUCCAAAAGAAAUAUGACACGAGCUUUUUUUUAGGAUUUUUUAUUUUAGUUUGUGCGUUGAGGAGGACAUAUUUUGUUUUAUUUUCCAAGCAGUUUUCGUAACUAUCGGGAAAAAACUUAGGAAAAAUGUGAAUUUAAAAUGUAACAAACGGUUUCGAUAUUUUCGAUUUUCGGUUUUUGUCGUUAUCGACCGAACGUUUUGCAAAAGGUCGGUUAAAUUAACUCGAUUUAUUUUAGUUCAAGAUUUUUUUUUUUUUAUGAUUAAAAAUGAAUGGGCAAUCAAAUAAUUUCACUGUCGUUUUUGCUGUCACACGCAUCAUAGAAGUUCACGCUGCCACUUGACAUCACUUAAUCUAACCUAAAAUUAUAUUGUAUUGGAGUUAUAAUAUUGUGAUUCGGUAUAAAAAUGUACAAACGUCAUAUUGCACACCCAUUUUAAUAUCACCGUUUUUACCGACAUGUUCGGAUUUUAAGUUAUUGUUAUAUUAACAAACCUGUUGACAGGGAAAGCGGGGCCCUGCGUGUGUAAAUAACAUUUAGUAAUUUAAAAAUCUGCCUUGUGCAGUUAAAUGUAUAUUAUAUGCUAUAUUCGUUUCAAAAACACGCGCGUGGCUUGUGGAAAUUGAAAAAAAAAAAACGAAGAUAACUCGGAUCGUGGGCGUGCGUCACGCGUUUUCUCUACAAGAUGUAAAAAAAUAAAACUAACCGAAAAAACUUGUUUACGACAAGCGCAGGUUCGUCCCGUGGGCAUAAACGCGAUAUAAAUUAAUCCAUGGUGUUCGCCCCUUCACCGCUGCCGCCCGCAUUAACAUCGCUAGCUAUCUGAAACGAUAUUAUUAUUACUAUUAUUUUUGGGAGGAGAUACGAACGCCUCUUGUAUAGUUAAAUCCCUCCCCUCUCGGGACCGCCGUGUACACAUACUGUAUAUACUACACCUCCUACAUAAGUGCACGGUUUAUCGUUUUCGGUCCCGAAUAAUUUCCCGCGAUCUUUUUAAUCUCGUUGGACUACGUAAUUUCCUUAAUGACAUCGCGUCGAUUAGUCAUCGGCACGUGCGGAUCGCGCGUUAUUAUUUUGUGUACCCAAUUUAAUACUAUAUUAUUAUCAGUCUAAAUGACAGUACUGAUUAGCAUUAUUAUUGCAGCGAAACGGAAUUUCACUAACUCAGAUUUCACUUAUUGCGAUUUUCGCUCAAAACAAUACACCCCUGCACUCGCCCGGGCUCAAGAUUUUCGCGUAGGAGAACCUUUUAGCGAUCGGCACCUUAUUUACAAGCGAACCUCGUUUGCUGAUAACAACAAUAAUACGACCUUGUCCGUUUUACCGGUUCACGUUAUUAUUAUUUUUAUCGCCGUGUGAAAAUAUAUAAACACACUGCACUGUUAUUGUUUUUGUUGCUCGUAACCGGUUUCUGAUCUACCGGCGCGCGACAGCACUUAUUGUUCGGCCGUUAUAUAAGAGAAAGACAUUAAUUUACAAGUGGCACACACACAUUUCCUGUCUGGCCCGAAAACCGUUCGAUUAGAGAGAAAUUAUACAAUAUGAAUACUUUUAUUAUUAAACAAAAAAAAAAAAAUUCAAACAUCGUCACUAAAAAAUAUAAUAUCUCUUCUCUAUAAUACAAUGCGUGCCCAGUAAAAACGUGGAAUGUAAAUGGAAUGUUCUAGACAGUCUGAUAACAAUAAUUCAAACUACAUCAGUAGGUUCACCACUUAUGACCCUCCACCUCCCAGAAAAUAUUCUAUAUACAUAUGUACAUCCUAAUAGUUGGUUAAAAUCGAUUUUUUUUUUUUUCAUCAUAAUAUCAUCGUUUGAAAUAGUAACCCACGAAAAACCGUAUUUAAAUAUUGUUUUGUAUAGUAGACGUAAACGAAAAUUAAUUUAACCAAACUCCACCAGCAAACCUAUCUAUAUCGAGAAUCGUGUUUAUCUGUUUACAAUGCAAUUUCGUCGAAUUCAAAAUAAUAUUUUAUUAAAUCACGAUUUAUCAUGCCUUAAAUUGAACAGAGAACGAAAACUUCCGUAAAAACCUGUUGUAGUACCAGUAUAGUUGAAAACAGACACUAUGGGCGUGAUUAGAUUUUUGUGUCUGGUGGGAUAGACUGCGAUAUUUUUCAGGGAUUACUAGAGAAGUGAGAACUUGUGGCACUUAAACGUCGUAUAAACUUAAACAUAGAUUAUCACCAAAUUGAAACAAUAUUAAUUAUUAAUUCAGGGUUGGGAUUUAAUAGCACUUAAAAUUGCGUAAAUAUGCUUCACAAUACCAUCUUAAAUGUAUUAACAUAAUAUCACGUAUCAGAUUAUCGCUCGUAAACUAUUAGUGACUAAAAUUUUGAUAGCAUUUUUAGUCGCAGAUCGAAAUCCUGUCGAACCAUAAAAAUAAGCAGAUAAGAUAACAAAAGUUUAAAUUAAAAUCAAAUAAUACGAAAUGAUGAAAUUCUGUUCCCGUCUCAUCAGCGCGUCUGCGUAAUCGGUCUAAUAACUUAGUCUGUAUUUACUUAUACACGUUUGUUAAAAUUUAUAUCAUUUGAUUGAUAAAUAAUAUUCAGAUUUCGAUUAUUAAUUUAAUAUUCAUUAUUAUAAUACACAAUAAGUAUUAUUUUAUUACUAUAAUUUAUUUAUACUAUGACUAAUUAAAAAAAAAAAAAAAACGGGUAAAAAUGAAAUAAAAUAAAAUCUCAAUUGCAGUGCAACCUUAUCGGUCUUACUUAAUAAUUGGUAUUUUGAAUAACAUAUUAAAAUUGCUUGAAAUACUCUUGGCCGAUAAUUUCGCCGGGAGGAACGGGAGUCAGUUGCCUAUCUUUCUCUCCCCCACCACCCCUCCCACCCACCCGUAAACAAAUCCAUAAAAAUGGGUACUAAUGGACGACGAAAACGCAAGAAAAGAACGUCAAUCGAAUUAUAUGUAUUAUAUUAUAAACUUAUAUUAAUUAUGUGUGUGUGUGUGUGUGUGUGUGUGUGUGUGUAUUUUACUUACCUAUUGUGAAAUUAAUUAUAAAAUCACUAGGUGAGAUUUUGCCAGUAAUAAUAUUACAAUAAUGAUAAUAAAAAUAUUAUAAUACAUUGUAAUAAUGGAUGUUAGGUACACAAGCACGCGAAUAUUGUUGUGACGGCGAACGGACGGAGACGUGACUGACCGUCGUCACUGCGGUGUUUAAGCCAUUCGGGAAGAGAUAAAUUAUCGUCAAGGCGCAACAAGUUAUACACAAUGGUGAGUGAUGAGAUGUUGAUGUGUGUAAUUGAACGCAAUUUGCUGACCCUUCGUGUU
rnacentral:lncRNA from 1 species